UUGGGAAUCUUGCACAAUGGGGGAAACCCUGAUGCAGCGACGCCGCGUGGAGGAUGACGGCCCUAGGGUUGUAAACUCCUUUUUCAGGGAAAGACUUAGGACGGUACCCUGAGAAUAAGCUCCGGCUAACUACGUGCCAGCAGCCGCGGUAAGACGUAGGGAGCAAGCGUUGUCCGGAUUUACUGGGCGUAAAGCGCACGUAGGCGGCUUGUUAAGUGAGAAGUGAAAUCUCCAGCGCUCAACGCGGAAACUGCUUCUCAUACUGGCAAGCUUGAGGGUUGUAGAGGUGACUAGAAUUCCUGGUGUAGCGGUGACAUGCAUAGAUAUCAGGAGGAAUACCCGAGGCGAAGGCGGGUCACUGGGCAACUCCUGACGCUGAGGUGCGAAAGCGUGGGUAGCAAACA
rnacentral:rRNA from 1 species